UGCAUUCGCUACUGUAAGUCGCUCUGGAUAAGAGCAUCUGCUAAAUGACUCAAA
rfam:Salmo salar isolate Sally breed double haploid chromosome ssa18, whole genome shotgun sequence.